UGUUAGCUCAGGGCUAAUCUUCCUCAAAAAAAAAAUAAAUAAAUAAAAUAAAAAUAAAACCCACCAGCUGCAUGAUUUUAUCAUAGCUAGUGCUCCAAAGGUCAUGUCCUAAUUUUUGGUUCUUUCAAUCAUUCAUUCAACACAUAUUUACUGAGCCCCUCCCUGAGUUUAAAUAUUGAGCCAAGCUUUCCAGCUAUAGCAGUGAAGAAGAAAGAGUUAAGCCCUGCCCUCAAGGAACUUACAAUCUCAUUAAACAGAGAACUACACAAUUAAUUAAUUAUUUAGUAAGCAUCAAUAAAUAAUAACCACAGGUGUGACUGAACUUUAGUACAGGACUAGGCAGGUGCAUAACUGGGGCAUCUGAUCAGGUCUGCAGGGCAUGACACUUAAGUUGAGAUCUGAGGGCAGAAUAGGAGUUAGCCAACAAAGAGGUAAGAAAGAGCAGACCAGGAAGAGAAAAAAGUCCCACAGAGGGCCCUGCGGCCAUCAUGGCUCCCACUCAGAUCAUGAGAAGUGAUGGAGAGUAGGGAGGAGUUAGAUCACUGGGCUCUAGAAGGCCAAGUUAAGGCCAAGUUCUUGUCUUUUAGACUGAGUCAUGGUUUUUCUCUUUGUCUCAGUUUAAUUUAGAAAUAUCUGGAAAGAAAUAUCUGAUCUCUAGUGUGUGAGCUGGCUGCACUAUGUAGACCCACGUAGAGAUGCCAAUAUAAAGAAGUUAACCUUCGAGUUCCAAACCACAGGACUACACAAGGCUCCAAUAGUCCCUUCUCUACCUCUCAGCUCCAAACAGAGCUGCUGCCCCACCAAGAGACCCUUCUGCCUCUCUUGCCAACAGAUUACAUAGCUUCUAGUAACUUCCAUUACCUUAAGCUUCCUAACGGCUCUCCUAAGGCUUCCCUGCUUCUCUGUGGGAACAGAGGACAACCUCUGAAUGUUAACAUCGUCAGUUCCCUCUAAGAAAGCUAAAUAGGAUAAAUGGCUUUAACUGUAUCUUUUCAGGGUCUAUAUUCCUGCUAUUUAAUCAUUUUAAUUCCUUUCCCAUUCAUUAGAAAAGGGGAAUGCUAGGAGAAAAGAAUCCCAUAAUUUAUACAAGUUUGAGUAAUAGCCCUAAAAAAAUGUAUAAAAGAUUUCAAUUCUAUUCACUUCCCAGUCUCUAGUCAGCUUCAACUAAUGAUACACAAUAGAGGGAGUAAAGUGUUCCUCUACCAUUUACAAUAUGCAAUCUUUCAGCUAGAAUAAGAAGUAGGCAGAAAUCUUUCUGUUUCUGGGAUUGCUGGAAUUUGAGGUAUAGUGUAGUCCAGGGAUGGGAGAUAAGUUCUAUCCUGGAUUUAACUCACUUAAUUGCCAAUGUUGGUCGGGAGCACAGUCUUGAUGAUUGAGGCUAUGCAGGUCUCUGCAAGAAGGUUUGUAUGGUCAACCAAUGAUGGGGCAUGGGAGUAGUGAGUCAGAGCAAGUGUGCCACACAUUUCCCAUUCCCGGCAGAGUGCUUAAGAGAAUUCAUUGGCUCUUGAGCUUACAGCCUAACGCUGAAUUCUAGCUUAGCUACUCACUAGGUUACAAUCUUGAAAUUGAAAGAAGGCCAUGGAAGGUCAUAGAUCAGAUCUUCAAGACCUCAUCAGAUUAAGUUACUAACAUCUGCUCUGACCAGGGGGAAAUUUUUCCAGUCCUCACUACCCUAUGCAUGCAAACAUAGUCACCUAAACUGUAAUAACUCAUAUUCAGCAAGUUUGUGGCCCCCAUCUGCUGCUGCAUAAUCACCUGCCCUUUGGAAAUUCUUCACUUCUCAAGUCUUUCUAAAGAUCUCUACAGCGUAGCUCUCGUGGGUCCAUAAACAUGUCUAUUCUUUCUAGUGUCACUGGACUACCAGGCUUAAAAGGUACUGCCACUUCCAGAAGUCUCCCAUUUCCCUCCAGAAUGCCCCAGGGCUAACGAGUCCUCCCCAGUCCCACUAUUUGUCCCGCAGAUGCAGUGGCUACCACUGCUUCCCCUCAGGUAUCACUUACAAUGCCAGGAACCCUCUCAGUGCCAAGUUGUGCUGUGAUGCACAGUGAAAUGAGCAUAUUAGGCAGAAUUUUAGGAACGACCCGUCAUGACCCUCACCUUUGUGGCCCUUCCCUUUUGAAGGUGGGUGGAAUCCAUGAACAUGAUGAGACAGCGCUGCUGUAUUAUGCUGCAUCAUAUGGCAGAGGAAAGAUUAUCCAGGUGUGCUUAACUCAAACCUAAUGAACCCUUUAAAAGCAAAGAAUUUUCUUCAGCUCAUGGCAGAGGGAGAGGUCAGAGAGAUAUGAAGCACAAGCAGAAUUUCAUAUAUAUUGCUGACUUGAAGAUGGAGGGGCAAUAAGGGGAGAAAUGCAGUUACCCUCUAGAAGUGGAAAGUGGCCCCUGGCUGACGGCCAGAAAGAAAAUAAGGACCUCAGUCCUUCACCCACAGGAACUAAAUUCUGUUAACAACCUCAAUGAGCUUGGAAGUGGAUUCUUCCCCAGAACCUGCAGAUAAGAGUACAGUCUGACUGAUACCUUGACUUUAGCUUGUGAGACCCUGAGCAGAGAACCCAGCCAAGCCCGUCUGGACUUCUGACCUAGAGAGCUAUGAGAUAAUGACUGAGUGUUGUUUUAAGCUGCUAAGUGUUUAUAACGUGUUACACAGAAAUAGGAAAUUAACACAUGGCAAAAGAGGAGAAACAAUUCUCUCUGUUCAACAGCCCCAUGGCAGUGUUGUUUUGACACCCAUAUUUUACAGUCCAGGGAAAUGGAUCUUUCUGGUUUUGUUUACAAUGUUACUGUUUUCCAAAGACCAGACAUGUGUCCAAUGGGUAUUGGGCCUAAACAUAGCUAUCACUCAAUCUCUAGCAUUAUCCUUCUUAGCUAUUGGUUAAAACUCUCACAGGCUUUAUUUCUUUAUGACAAGUUCUUGUAGCAGGCUUCCCAGUUUUUCCUUUAAGAGAUAUACAAGGUCAUCUGCAUUCAUUCACUUCUUCAUUUAUUCGUUAAACAGUGAAUGUCUAUGACAUGCCAAGCUCUGUUCUAAGUUCUGGAACACAGAAGGAAUACAUCAAAGUUCUAUCUCUUACAGAGAUUGCAUUUUCAUAAGGGGUAAAGAGACAAACAAACACAUAUCUAUGUCAGGUGAUGCCAAGUGCUAUGAAAAAACAGAGCAGAGUAAGGAUAGAUUAAGAGCAACCCAGGAGGGAAGAGAGUAUUACACAUACAGUGGUCAAUAAUGACCUGUCCGACAGGAGCCCAUUUGAGCCAUUAGAAUGAGCCACGCAGAUAUGUAGGGGGAGAGCAUUGCAGGAAGAGGGGAUUCUCAGAGUAAGGGUGCUGAGGUGGGAGAAUGCUUGGCAUGUUUGAGCCCUGACAUUGCUGGAGAGGAAUGAGCAAGGAGGAGAGAAGAGGAAAUGAGGUCGGUGAAGUGUCAGGGCUGGAUGAUGGAGAGCACUUGAAGAACCACUGAGGAACUUUGGCCAUUGAAGAAGUUUGAAUUUUACCUGAAUAAGAGGAAAAACGUUGAAGGGAUUUAAACAGAAGAGUUUCAUCAUCUGACUUGCAUUUCUGUGGUAGAGGAGCUAGAGUGGAGGGGAUAUCAGUGAGUGGCCAGUGCACUGAGAGUUGAUGGCGGUUUGCUGGGGAGGCAGUAAUGGAGACAAUGAGAAGCUGUCGGAUUCUGGAUCUAUUAGAAGGUGGUGUUGACAAGACUUGUUGGUGGGUUAGAUAUGGAUGUGAAGGAAAGAGAAGAGGCAAGAAAAAUACAAGCCUGUGUUCGAACUCCAAUAGGGCAUGUGGCUUAAGUUCUUUCCCAGGAGACACCUCAGGCUAUUAGUUCUGCUCUAUCAGUUCUUCAGGUGCUACUAGACAUUCCUGAAGCCCAGUGGUUGUGACGUCCAGGAUUAACUCGAGAUCCCUGCUUUGGUAAAUAAAAUUCCAGACACAGCCAGUUUCUGUUGGGAGGCAAGAACCCAGGUGAGGCAAAAUCUUCCAGGCAAUAAAGAUCCCUGACUCAGCAGUCAGCCUGUUUCCCUAUUUCCCAUGAAAGGGCAGAAAGUACAUGGUACUGGUUCCCCAGCCCCUAAUUCCAACAGGCUUAUGCAUUUUUGCCCAGCUAGUCUGAGUAUGAUGUUGAAGUCUGAGUGUUGAAUGUGAAGUCUGGAACCCAGUCCUAAGACAUCCUGAGUCCCAUUUGGAAAACUGGUCCAGGCAAUAUUUAAUGGGUUCUGUAGCAUUUCAACCCAAUCACUGCUUUUGCGUAUGAGCACAGAACAAGUCCUGGAACUCUUCUGGAAUGAAAACUACACACCGUCUCUGAAUGUAGUUGCCAUUUUAUAAAUAAGAAAAGAAGAAUGAAGAAAAGACACCGUUUGUACAGCUAAAAACAACUGGUUCGGACAAGUUAUAGCAAGAAGACAGCUGUCCAAGAACCAGGAAGGAAGUUCUCACCAGACGCCAGAGAUGUCAGCACCUUGACCUUGGACUUCCAGCCCCAAGAGCUAUAAAGAAGAAUUGAUUCAGUUAAUGAAACACUGAAGACCACCACGGCUGCAAGAGCUGAAACCUUCAUCAACCAUUGAAAAGACAACUAGGUGCAUAGAGCAGACCGCUCCCUAGAACAUCCAAGGAUGCUCAGCAUCACCUCGCCAGCAACCUCCCAUAUGCUUUCCUCCAAGAUUCUUUGUCUUAAUUUCUUACUGUGAAAUACAGGAACAAAAUCUAUAAAAAUGUAAAGAAUCACUAGCUUGCCAAACACUUUGUGUCAAACGAAUGGUUUACAUAAUCCACUGGAUUAAAGGUGAGCUUUGGGAUUAUUUAUUUGUGACCCUUCUUCUUGAUUAGAAAAAUAUAUAAACUUAAUACAAAAAAUUUUUGAAAGUACAACAACAUAUAAAGAAGAAAAUAAAAUACACAACAACUCUUGAGAUGUAAGGUACAACAUGAUGGCUAUAGUUCACAUCGCUGUAUGGUAUAUUUAAAAGUUGUUAAGAGAGUCGAUCCUCAGAGCUACUAUUGCAAGGAAAAAAAAGACGUUUUCUCUUUCUUUCUAUCUUUUUAUCUUUUUUUGGUAUCUAUAUGAGAUAAUGGAUGUUAACUAAAUUUCGUGUGGUAAUCAUUUCACAAUAUGAGAGUCAAGUCAUUUGCUGUACAACUUAAACUUACACAAUGCUGUAUGUCAAUUAUACGUCAAUAAAACUAGGGGAGGGGGCCGGCCCCGUG